AUUGAACGCUGGCGGCAGGCCUAACACAUGCAAGUCGGGCGAGCGGCGGACGGGUGAGUAAUGUAUGGGGAUCUGCCUGAUGGCGGGGGAUAACUACUGGAAACGGUAGCUAAUACCGGAGACCAUCAGAUGAACCCAUAUGGGAUUAGCUAGUAGGUGAGGUAACGGCUUACCUAGGCGACGAUCCCUAGCUGGUCUGAGAGGAUGAUCAGCCACACUGGGACUGUGACACGCCCCAGACUCCUACGGGAGGCAGCAGUGGGGGAUAUUGCACAAUGGGCGAAAGCCUGAUGCAGCGACGCCGCGUGGGGGAUGAAGGCUUUCGGGUUUUAAACCUCUUUCGCUAUCGAACGGGUAUUUGGAUAAGAAGCGCCGGCUAACUCCGUGCCAGCCGCCGCGGUACUUC
rnacentral:rRNA from 1 species